AUUGAACGCUGGCGGCAGGCCUAACACAUGCAAGUCGAGCGGAAGAAGGGAGCUUGCUCCUGGAUUCAGCGGCGGACGGGUGAGUAAUGCCUAGGAAUCUGCCUGGUAGUGGGGGAUAACGUCCGGAAACGGGCGCUAAUAACGCAUACGUCCUGAGGGUGAAAGUGGGGGAUCUUCGGACCUUACGCUAUCAGAUGAGCCUAGGUCGGAUUAGCUAGUUGGUGGGGUAAAGGCCUACCAAGGCGACGAUCCGUAACUGGUCUGAGAGGAUGAUCAGUCACACUGGAACUGAGACACGGUCCAGACUCCUACGGGAGGCAGCAGUGGGGAAUAUUGGACAAUGGGCGAAAGCCUGAUCCAGCCAUGCCGCGUGUGUGAAGAAGGUCUUCGGAUUGUAAAGCACUUUAAGUUGGGAGGAAGGGCAGUAAGUUAAUACCUUGCUGUUUUGACGUUACCAACAGAAUAAGCACCGGCUAACUUCGUG
rnacentral:rRNA from 1 species